ACCCGCUGAAUUUAAGCAUAUCAAUAAGCGGAGGAAAAGAAACCAACAGGGAUUGCCUUAGUAACGGCGAGUGAAGCGGCAAAAGCUCAAAUUUGAAAUCUGGCACCUUCGGUGUCCGAGUUGUAAUUUGAAGAAGGUAACUUUGGAGUUGGCUCUUGUCUAUGUUCCUUGGAACAGGACGUCACAGAGGGUGAGAAUCCCGUGCGAUGAGAUGCCCAAUUCUAUGUAAAGUGCUUUCGAAGAGUCGAGUUGUUUGGGAAUGCAGCUCUAAGUGGGUGGUAAAUUCCAUCUAAAGCUAAAUAUUGGCGAGAGACCGAUAGCGAACAAGUACAGUGAUGGAAAGAUGAAAAGAACUUUGAAAAGAGAGUGAAAAAGUACGUGAAAUUGUUGAAAGGGAAGGGCUUGAGAUCAGACUUGGUAUUUUGCGAUCCUUUCCUUCUUGGUUGGGUUCCUCGCAGCUUACUGGGCCAGCAUCGGUUUGGGUGGUAGGAUAAUGACUAAGGAAUGUGGCUCUACUUCGGUGGAGUGUUAUAGCCUUGGUUGAUACUGCCUGUCUAGACCGAGGACUGCGUCUUUUGACUAGGAUGUUGGCAUAAUGAUCUUAAGCCACCCGUCUUGAAACACGGACCAAGGAG
rnacentral:rRNA from 1 species